CGCUUAGAAGUGAGAAUGCCGGUAUGAGUAGCGAAAGAGGGGUGAGAAUCCCCUCCACCGAAUGCCUAAGGUUUCCUGAGGAAGGCUCGUCCGCUCAGGGUUAGUCGGGACCUAAGCCGAGGCCGAAAGGCGUAGGCGAUGGACAACAGGUUGAUAUUCCUGUACCACCUCCUCACCAUUUGAGCAAUGGGGGGACGCAGGAGGAUAGGGUAAGCGCGGUAUUGGAUAUCCGCGUCCAAGCAGUUAGGCUGGGAAAUAGGCAAAUCCGUUUCCCAUAAGGCUGAGCUGUGAUGGCGAGCGAAAUAUAGUAGCGAAGUUCCUGAUUCCACACUGCCAAGAAAAGCCUCUAGCGAGGUGAGAGGUGCCCGUACCGCAAACCGACACAGGUAGGCGAGGAGAGAAUCCUAAGGUGAUCGAGAGAACUCUCGUUAAGGAACUCGGCAAAAUGACCCCGUAACUUCGGGAGAAGGGGUGCUCUGUUAGGGUGCAAGCCCGAGAGAGCCGCAGUGAAUAGGCCCAGGCGACUGUUUAGCAAAAACACAGGUCUCUGCGAAGCCGUAAGGCGAAGUAUAGGGGCUGACGCCUGCCCGGUGCUGGAAGGUUAAGAGGAGCGCUUAGCGUAAGCGAAGGUGCGAAUUGAAGCCCCAGUUAACGGCGGCCGUAACUAUAACGGUCCUAAGGUAGCGAAAUUCCUUGUCGGGUAAGUUCCGACCCGCACGAAAGGCGCAACGAUCUGGGCACUGUCUCAACGAGAGACUCGGUGAAAUUAUAGUACCUGUGAAGAUGCAGGUUACCCGCGACAGGACGGAAAGACCCCGUGGAGCUUUACUGCAGCCUGAUAUUGAAUGUUGGUACAGCUUGUACAGGAUAGGUAGGAGCCUUGGAAACCGGAGCGCCAGCUUCGGUGGAGGCAUCGGUGGGAUACUACACUGGCUGUAUUGACCUUCUAACCCGCCGCCCUUAUCGGGCGGGGAGACAGUGUCAGGUGGGCAGUUUGACUGGGGCGGUCGCCUCCUAAAAGGUAACGGAGGCGCCCAAAGGUUCCCUCAGAAUGGUUGGAAAUCAUUCGCAGAGUGUAAAGGCACAAGGGAGCUUGACUGCGAGACCUACAAGUCGAGCAGGGACGAAAGUCGGGCUUAGUGAUCCGGUGGUUCCGCAUGGAAGGGCCAUCGCUCAACGGAUAAAAGCUACCCCGGGGAUAACAGGCUUAUCUCCCCCAAGAGUCCACAUCGACGGGGAGGUUUGGCACCUCGAUGUCGGCUCAUCGCAUCCUGGGGCUGUAGUCGGUCCCAAGGGUUGGGCUGUUCGCCCAUUAAAGCGGUACGCGAGCUGGGUUCAGAACGUCGUGAGACAGUUCGGUCCCUAUCCGUCGCGGGCGCAGGAAAUUUGAGAGGAGCUGUCCUUAGUACGAGAGGACCGGGAUGGACGCACCGCUGGUGUACCAGUUGUUCUGCCAAGGGCAUCGCUGGGUAGCUAUGUGCGGACGGGAUAAGUGCUGAAAGCAUCUAAGCAUGAAGCCCCCCUCAAGAUGAGAUUUCCCAUUCCGCAAGGAAGUAAGAUCCC
rnacentral:rRNA from 1 species